CCUAACACAUGCAAGUCGAGCGGAUGAGAGGAGCUUGCUCUUCGAUUCAGCGGCGGACGGGUGAGUAAUGCCUAGGAAUCUGCCUAGUAGUGGGGGACAACGUUUCGAAAGGAACGCUAAUACCGCAUACGUCCUACGGGAGAAAGUGGGGGAUCUUCGGACCUCACGCUAUUAGAUGAGCCUAGGUCGGAUUAGCUAGUUGGUAGGGUAAAGGCCUACCAAGGCGACGAUCCGUAACUGGUCUGAGAGGAUGAUCAGUCACACUGGAACUGAGACACGGUCCAGACUCCUACGGGAGGCAGCAGUGGGGAAUAUUGGACAAUGGGCGAAAGCCUGAUCCAGCCAUGCCGCGUGUGUGAAGAAGGCCUUCGGGUCGUAAAGCACUUUAAGUUGGGAGGAAGGGCUCAUAGCGAAUACCUGUGAGUUUUGACGUUACCAACAGAAUAAGCACCGGCUAACUUCGUGCCAGCAGCCGCGGUAAUACGAAGGGUGCAAGCGUUAAUCGGAAUUACUGGGCGUAAAGCGCGCGUAGGUGGCUUGAUAAGUUGGAUGUGAAAUCCCCGGGCUCAACCUGGGAACUGCAUCCAAAACUGUCUGGCUAGAGUGCGGUAGAGGGUAGUGGAAUUUCCAGUGUAGCGGUGAAAUGCGUAGAUAUUGGAAGGAACACCAGUGGCGAAGGCGACUACCUGGACUGACACUGACACUGAGGUGCGAAAGCGUGGGGAGCAAACAGGAUUAGAUACCCUGGUAGUCCACGCCGUAAACGAUGUCAACUAGCCGUUGGGAUCCUUGAGAUCUUAGUGGCGCAGCUAACGCAUUAAGUUGACCGCCUGGGGAGUACGGCCGCAAGGUUAAAACUCAAAUGAAUUGACGGGGGCCCGCACAAGCGGUGGAGCAUGUGGUUUAAUUCGAAGC
rnacentral:rRNA from 1 species